CUUAGCAGUUUCAACUAGUUUGGGCGCGAAUUCGACGACAGUUUUGUAAGUCGCAUAUAAAUGUAGAGAAUGCGUUUGGACUACUGAAUCUUAUUUCAUUUCAUGGUAUGUUUGUUCUUAUGGACCCUCUUUGUGAUGUUUCAGUUCGCUGAAAAGCAUCUAUGGAUGAGUUUAUCAGUUCCAAAUUGACUGAGUGGCAGCUACCAGGGCUGAUUGAAAGAUGCCAGGGGAGAAGUCGCCCUGACGCUUCUGCCCAUCCUGCUCCCUCCGCCUGUGUUUAAAAAGGGCAGGAAAUUGGUCCGGGCGAGUAUUCAGGAGGUGAAGAGAGCCUUCCUCGAUGUUAAGCCCGUCGGCGCUAACAUGGUGGAAUACUUGCAGCAGGCAGAAUCGCCUACCCAUUUGUGCUGCUGCUCACAGAGCCUCUUGUUCUAUGUAUAUAUCACUCUCUCAUAGCUGUCCCCUCACCCGUUCUUAAAAUGUUAUUUUUUUUGUACAUAAUUUGUUCAUAUGUGAAGGAAAUGUUGUGAGUUGUUAUAUUUGUAUGUUCUGGAAAUGUUGAAUUUUAAUAAAUAUUUUAUUGUUACAUUGGUGUCAUUAUCAUUGUAAUAUAUUAUUAAUAGUA